UACAGAGGUCUCAAGCGUUGUUCGGAUUCAUUGGGCGUAAAGGGUGCGUAGGCGGCGCGGUAAGUCGGGUGUGAAAUCUCGGAGCUUAACUCCGAAACUGCAUUCGAUACUGCCGUGCUUGAGGACUGGAGAGGAGACUGGAAUUUACGGUGUAGCAGUGAAAUGCGUAGAUAUGUGGAGGAACACCGAUGGCGAAGGCAGCCCCCUGGGCUAACACUGACGCUCAUGCACGAAAGCGUGGGGAGCAAACAGG
rnacentral:rRNA from 1 species